ACCCUCUCAGGGUCACACCUGGAGAGAUUCCAGUACUCUACCAGUCUCGACUAUAGAAAGGAGAGUCAGGCAGAGGCCUACUCAUUCCAUUCCUAGCUUGGGCAAUGGCUAGCGAGUGGAAGGCCAUCUGCUACAAGU
rfam:Ornithorhynchus anatinus chromosome 5, whole genome shotgun sequence.